CGGAGGGAUUCUUGGACAAGGACCCACCUGGAGCAGCGAGACAGCCGCUGGGCUGCCUUCAGUGGCGAACGCCCCAAAGGGAAGAGUUGGCCUCGAGACAGCACCAGCCUGGGCUGUGAUGCCAGGCAGCCGGGUGGUCAUCGUCAGCUCCCGGACUGAGCCACCAUGGCUCCCGUCAGGGAAACUCACUCUAAUGGAGACUUUCCCCAAUAGGCCUUCUCUCAAAAGAAAGGAAAACGGAGAAAACCCCCUCACCACCUCAUGGGGACAUGAAUUCCUAUCUCUCAGGGGCUCAAAGGAUUGUACGGAUUUUUAAAUUUCGAUUCAUCUAUACAGCAGCUCAGCUAAGGGAGAAAAGGUGGGAGAAGGGAAGGAUCACUUUCCCUCCACAACAGAUGAGGACACAGAAGGUCCAGGUCUCAGGAGGUCUACAGCAAGUUGAGACCAGCAGAGGUUUUGGUUCCUGCAUUUGAGAUCCCUACUUAAAGCACAAGUUCCUGCCUAGUC